GAGAAAACAAAUAGAGAGUGCAAGUGUUAGAGAGUAAUACAUAAGCAGGCUUUGUAAUAGGCUAAAUAGGGGGUUGAAUGUUCGUAAAAAAAAAAAGCACCAAAUCUUAAACUACUUAAACUAUAAAACUUAAUCUUUUUAUACUUUUAUACUUAUUAUCACUGUAAAAGUGAUGUUUUAUCUGACUCACGUGCAGGGGUGGCGUUUUUCACCUAUGAAUGGGUCAUGGAACUACGAAAAAAACCUUAAAUUGAUUAUUUAAUAAUUUAAUUAGAUUUAAGUUAUUUAUUAACGAAAUCUUUGUUUAGCCUAUGUAAAUUCCGCGUGCUUUAAUGAGCGCGCGCUGAACAUUGGAGUAGCGUUCAUUCAGAUUCAAACACUGGAGCGGAGGGAGUUGCCAUGGAAACGGGGCGACCGACAACACUGGCAAGCUGCAAGCUCCGUUUCUUGCUGCUGUUUUCACUGCUUUCGAGUCUGCUAAGCUAUAAAGGAGGUGUUCCGGACUCACUGCUCUCCUACAGGAUGACAGCUGGUGAGGAGCCGGCCUCUCCAAUGAGGAAACCAGCAACAUGCAAGAGAACGGCGGAGCCCGAAGCAGCCCCCAAGAUCCUUUGCAUCACUCCUCGGGCCAAUCAUCUCUGUUUGAGCUUGGCACGGUUCAAACAGGGUUUAGGAAAGUGCACGCUCGUGAGAGUACGCAAGAUCUACAGGAACCCCUUCAUGUGCUUGGUCUGUGUGGAAGAGUCAAUCUCACAAAUAAAGAGUUGUAACAUUUUUCAUCACAGGCAUCCAGUGUCAUUACAAA
ensembl:lncRNA